GCGGAUGUAACUCAGUUGGUAGAGUAACAGCCUUCCAAGCUGUAUGUCGCGAGUUCGAAUCUCGUCGUCCGCU
rnacentral:tRNA from 1 species